rnacentral:lncRNA from 1 species
GUCUGUCUUUGUUUUUAAGAAAUCAUGUAAAUGCAUUGACCAAUCAGAGAGGCUGACAGAUAUUCCAGAUGGCUGCUGCUUGAUGGAGUCAUGUUUCACAGCUCGUCUUCUGCAUGUGUUUGAGUCUCACUCUGACCGGCUGAAACACUGUUACCAUUCAGCUGAAGCCACACAAGAGCUUAACAUAUCGACAUCGGCCGAGUGUGUUUGACUCCAGGAAGAAAACCAGAUUGCUUUGGAGAAAGUUUGCAGAUUUCCAGAAGCCCGUCCUGGCGGUUUCUUGUGUUGAGGGGACAGAGGAAUGGCCAUACCGACCAUGACUGACUCCAGCAGGCUUACUGAGGUGUCCACACGGCCUUAUCUGGAUGCACGGACCUCAACGUCAGACACGGAGUGUGGAGAGGAGCCUGAUCUCCAGCCAAGAGCUCUGGAGGAACCUCAGGCAGUGGGUGCAGAAGACACUGGAACAUCAGACAUCAUCGUGUCGAGGGGUGAGGAAUAUCAAAUGUCUGACUUUACAAGUAAAGAAGACAACAACAUCCAGUCGAGCAUCAGCAGCAGGUUUGCACAAUGAGAUUCUUUCCAUUACUUAUUUAAAUGACAGGUUUAUGAAUUCACUGAUCCAUUUAACUGCUUUGUUUACCAUGGCAAUUCAUAGGUCAGAUGCAGAAAGAGAGAAGAAAUCUACUGCUUGCUGCUUCAGAAAACGUCACAGGAAACACCGAACAGAGAUUACAGACACGAGGAAAACAAGGGAGACGUGUAGAAAAGACAGCGCAAGAAUGAAAAGAAAUUCUCCAGUGGUUUCAGACCAGAAGACCAGCGGCUCCUCAAGAUGCCUCAAAGAUCAAGACGUGUUCUCAUCCCGACCUCAGCAGGUCACUCCAGAUCUCCAUCUGUGGAAAUAUCCUCAAGAUGCUGGUGUUUCCCGUCUCUGCCUUCACAAGCUGGAGGUCGACGUUCCUUCGACCUUUGAGUCUCGCAGUUUGGAACCAAACCUCGACUCUGAGUUUGCAUAUAUUUACGCUGAAAGCAUCAAAGGAUGCGACUCUUCCUGUUGCACUACUCCAGGAGACUGUAAUACCCACAAUCCCUUUGUCAAAACUGAACGAGAGGCUGAAUCUGUCUGGAACAGCUUUGAGGAAGAAUCUGAAGACUCCGAUUGGGAUUUAUACAUGUCUGCGCACAGUACAGUGGCUACUGCAGGUUCCAGAUUGAACGCUGAGCGCUUUGGGUCUUUAGAUGACUUUGACUUGACUUGUAUUUAUACAGACUGGGAAAGGAGAGCCGACAGUGCAGAAACCGAGCAGGGUUACAGUCCCGCCAAAGCGGAGUGGGGCUCCGAGAGUUCAUGUUCCACCGCUGACAGACAAACCAGCAGCUCGGAUUCAGACGGCUGCCGUUUAGAGGCUCUCGGUGACAUCAAAUGUCCAGACGGAUGGCCUGAAGUGUUUCUGCCAGGAUUUGAGGGCUGCUUUGACUGCUGGGAUGUAGUUGAAGACGUCUGCAGAGGCACAGAGAGCGAUUCUGAGGAUACAGGUGAACUGUGGGGUGUCGUGACUCAAAUGGACCGCCGGCAUUUCUCUGAUUUUUUCUGUGAAAUGAUUAAAGAAGUGAUGCAGGAGAAAGACACAGAGAAAAUGAAUGUAAAUGAGGGGUUUCUGUUCCACCCUAAGCAGUUCCUCCAGGUGAAGAACUCCGAAUAUCGAGAGGGUCGUGAAUAUUCAUUUCUCCGUCACAUUCAAAACGGUUCAUAUGGAGACGUCUUCAGCAUUCGGGACAAACAAACAGGAUUUACAUGUGCCGCCAAAAA